CAAUUGGCAUUUCAGCAAGGAGUUGCUGGAUCCACUCACUGCUGAGCACCGGGAGCUCAGGAGGGCCCUCGGAAAUGUGGUGGCAAAAGCCCUGAGGGACAACGGGAGCUUCCUGCAAGUGGUGAUAAGAGGAUUCCUGCCUGGCUCCCUGCUGUGUCAUGGGGAUGCAGUGUUCCAGCUCCCUGCUCCCAGCAGCCUGGA